GGGUUGCUGGCAGAAUGGGUAUGCACCUGCCUCUUAAGCAGAGUUAUCGAGGUUCGAUUCCUCGGCGACCCACCA
rnacentral:tRNA from 1 species